CUUCGGUGGCCUGCUGUGCCCACUGGUCGUUCUGUUUGUGUCAUCUCACCUGCCCACUCAAGGAAGAAUUGGUGGCUCCGUGGUAGCUCCUGUCAGGCACCAGCUCAGCAGUGAGCAGGUUUUGAAUCACACUUUACAAAGUCUGGAAAAGGAAAGCAUUUUUCAUCAUUCCCUUCAUGUGAGAUCUUAAAGAAACUGG
rnacentral:lncRNA from 1 species